CGGUUCGUUUCUCGCAUGCCCGCGCCCUGCUUCCUCACCCGACGCUGUCUUCUUCUCCAAACCGUCGCCGCGACGAUUCUGUUCUUCCAUUCAUACAAAAACGGCCAGCCAAGGAAGCCCUAGCAUCACCUUUUUCCCCUUUGCCCUCAUCGCCUCCUCGCCACAGGGAUCACUCCACCGCCCGAUGCGCGCAGUGAUGCCAGCCGAUUACCGGCCGCCUCCUCUGUGCUAGCCACCAAGCAUCACUUGACCUCUCCCUCUCCAGGUCGCGGUCAACAUAGGCUCGCCGGGAAACCAUGUGUCAAAUCGUGCCCUAGGCACCGCCCUCCUCUCCUCUUUCUUAACCGUGCCCUAGAUUCAUUGCCGGCUUGGGGUCUACUGUGUCGUGCCCUAGCUUCCGACUUUGCCUCCUCUUCACAAUAGUGGCGUUAGGCGAUCAAUAGAGGGGAAGCAACAGAUUUCUAUGGAUUCUUCCUGUUGCCGAUCACUACUUUCUCCUUUCUUGAAGCUGUGGAGGUCUUGGAGUAAGUGAGGAUAUGUUGAAGGUGAUCUUGGUUCCGGUGGUGUUUCUUGCCGGCAGCACUCAAACCAGUAUCACCAGUGGUUUUGGAUCAAGAGCAGAGGUUUGAAUUGAGGACUCUAAUUCGAGACGAGCAUCUCGAUGUUGGAUUUGAUUGGAUUGGACCUGCUAUUUG